GAUAGGAUGGCUGAAAUUUUAGGUUAUAAAUUGUAAAUUUAUAUAUGAGUUAAAGACUCUUCUAUCA
rnacentral:tRNA from 1 species